AAUCUGGUCAAAUUUUCAUUGUUAAUAUGGACUCCUUUGUUCUAAGAGCAGCUAAGCCUUAUUUGGCCACUAUAGGAGCAACUGUUCAUGGUCAUUAUGGAAAAAUCCUUUACAAAGGAGAUAGGUUAGUUACGUUUAUAUAUGAAAAAUCGAGAUCCAGUGAUAUAACGCUAUUCACUAAAUCAAAUCCUUCUCUAAAUAUUUCCACCAUUCCUCGGUAUGAUUUUCAACGUAUUUGGAUUUUUCACUAUAGAAAAUAUCUCUCUAUCGUUGUUUUUUUCUCAUGUACGUAAACUUCCUA